rnacentral:rRNA from 1 species
UACAGAGGUGGCUAGCGUUGUUCGGAAUUACUGGGCGUAAAGGGCGCGUAGGCGGCUUGGUCAGUCCCGUGUGAAAUCCCUCGGCUCAACUGAGGAACUGCACGGGAAACUGCCUGGCUUGAGUUCGGGAGAGGGAAGCGGAAUUCCGGGUGUAGCGGUGAAAUGCGUAGAUAUCCGGAGGAACACCGGUGGCGAAGGCGGCUUCCUGGGCCUUACCUGACGCUGAGACGCGAAAGCGUGGGGAGCGAACCGG